rnacentral:rRNA from 1 species
AACGAACGCUGGCGGCAUGCCUAACACAUGCAAGUCGAACGAGACCUUCGGGUCUAGUGGCGCACGGGUGCGUAACGCGUGGGAACCUGCCCUUAGGUUCGGAAUAACUCCCCGAAAGGGGUGCUAAUACCGGAUAAUGUCUUCGGACCAAAGAUUUAUCGCCUUUGGAUGGGCCCGCGUUGGAUUAGCUAGUUGGUAGGGUAAAAGCCUACCAAGGCGACGAUCCAUAGCGGGUCUGAGAGGAUGAGCAGCCACACUGGGACUGAGACACGGCCCAGACUCCUACGGGAGGCAGCAGUGGGGAAUAUUGGACAAUGGGCGAAAGCCUGAUCCAGCAAUGCCGCGUGAGUGAUGAAGGCCUUAGGGUUGUACAGCUCUUUUACCCGGGAUGAUAAUGACAGUACCGGGAGAAUAAGCUCCGGCUAACUCCGUG